GGACAGGUGGCCGAGCGGUUGAAGGCGUCAGUCUCGAAAACUGAAAUAGGUGUAAGCCUAUCGCGAGUUCGAAUCUCGCCCUGUCCGCCA
rnacentral:tRNA from 1 species